GCGCCCGUAGCUCAACUGGAUAGAGCGGCUGACUUCGGAUCAGCAGGUUGCGGGUUCGACUCCUGCCGGGCGCA
rnacentral:tRNA from 1 species